GACGAACGCUGGCGGCGUGCUUAACACAUGCAAGUCGAACGGAAAGGCCCUGCUUUUGUGGGGUGCUCGAGUGGCGAACGGGUGAGUAACACGUGAGUAACCUGCCCUUGACUUUGGGAUAACUUCAGGAAACUGGGGCUAAUACCGGAUAGGAGCUCCUGCUGCAUGGUGGGGGUUGGAAAGUUUCGGCGGUUGGGGAUGGACUCGCGGCUUAUCAGCUUGUUGGUGGGGUAGUGGCUUACCAAGGCUUUGACGGGUAGCCGGCCUGAGAGGGUGACCGGCCACAUUGGGACUGAGAUACGGCCCAGACUCCUACGGGAGGCAGCAGUGGGGAAUAUUGCACAAUGGGCGGAAGCCUGAUGCAGCAACGCCGCGUGCGGGAUGACGGCCUUCGGGUUGUAAACCGCUUUCGCCUGUGACGAAGCGUGAGUGACGGUAAUGGGUAAAGAAGCACCGGCUAACUACGUGCCAGCAGCCGCGGUGAUACGUAGGGUGCGAGCGUUGUCCGGAUUUAUUGGGCGUAAAGGGCUCGUAGGUGGUUGAUCGCGUCGGAAGUGUAAUCUUGGGGCUUAACCCUGAGCGUGCUUUCGAUACGGGUUGACUUGAGGAAGGUAGGGGAGAAUGGAAUUCCUGGUGGAGCGGUGGAAUGCGCAGAUAUCAGGAGGAACACCAGUGGCGAAGGCGGUUCUCUGAGCCUUUCCUGACGCUGAGGAGCGAAAGCGUGGGGAGCGAACAGGCUUAGAUACCCUGGUAGUCCACGCUGUAAACGGUGGGUACUAGGUGUGGGGUCCAUUCCACGGGUUCCGUGCCGUAGCUAACGCUUUAAGUACCCCGCCUGGGGAGUACGGCCGCAAGGCUAAAACUCAAAGGAAUUGACGGGGCCCCGCACAAGCGGCGGAGCAUGCGGAUUAAUUCGAUGCAACGCGUAGAACCUUACCUGGGUUUGACAUGGAUCGGGAGUGCUCAGAGAUGGGUGUGCCUCUUUUGGGGUCGGUUCACAGGUGGUGCAUGGCUGUCGUCAGCUCGUGUCGUGAGAUGUUGGGUUAAGUCCCGCAACGAGCGCAACCCUUGUUCACUGUUGCCAGCACGUUAUGGUGGGGACUCAGUGGAGACCGCCGGGGUCAACUCGGAGGAAGGUGGGGAUGACGCCAAGUCAUCAUGCCCCUUAUGUCCAGGGCUUCACGCAUGCUACAAUGGCUGGUACAGAGAGUGGCGAGCCUGUGAGGGUGAGCGAAUCUCGGAAAGCCGGUCUCAGUUCGGAUUGGGGUCUGCAACUCGACCUCAUGAAGUCGGAGUCGCUAGUAAUCGCAGAUCAGCAACGCUGCGGUGAAUACGUUCCCGGGGCU
rnacentral:rRNA from 1 species